rnacentral:sRNA from 22 species
AAUUAGCAUACCAAUGAAUUUAAAGAUUCUUUAAAGAUUCUUUAAAGAGUCUUAUUUUGUGAUGAAAAUUUAAUAUGUAAAUCUCAGACGAUAGAAAUUAAAAACUCUGUCGUCUUUUUU